UACGGAGGGGGCUAGCGUUGUUCGGAAUUACUGGGCGUAAAGCGCACGUAGGCGGCUUUGUAAGUUAGAGGUGAAAGCCCGGGGCUCAACUCCGGAAUUGCCUUUAAGACUGCAUCGCUAGAAUUGUGGAGAGGUAAGUGGAAUUCCGAGUGUAGAGGUGAAAUUCGUAGAUAUUCGGAAGAACACCAGUGGCGAAGGCGACUUACUGGACACAUAUUGACGCUGAGGUGCGAAAGCGUGGGGAGCGAUCCGG
rnacentral:rRNA from 1 species